rnacentral:misc_RNA from 1 species
AAGUCGUAACAAGGUUUCCGUAGGUGAACCUGCGGAAGGAUCAUUAAAGAAAUAAACUUGACGGGUUGUAGCUGGCUCUAACUUGAGUAUGUGCACGCCUUCUCUUUUCAUCCACACACACCUGUGCACUUGUGAGACGGAGGAUUGAAAAAAAGUCCUCCGUCUACUAAUUACACAAACUCAAUUGUACUUGAACUGAAUGUAAUUGAUGUAACACAUCAUUGGAACAAAGUUUCAACAACGGAUCUCUUGGCUCUC